UCCAUUACCAGGGACAUGCAAGGGAUGG
rnacentral:piRNA from 1 species